ACCCCGAGUCAAACGACCGCGUCUCCAUCCCCGUCUGGAUCCGCCGCCUCGCCGCCGCCGGCCCGCAUCCUCCGCCACGCCGUCCUCCGCCGAGCCAUGCCGGCGCCCUCACCGCACCCCGGCCUGCCUCCUCUCCGCCGUGCCCUUCUCCGCGCGCCCUCCGAGUCCUCCGCGCGCGCUGUUCACCGGCGCUCAGGCACAGGACGCCGCCCACCGCGACUAGCUGCUCAAGACUCUCCUUGCCGCCGUGGGCAAUGGCCGGGAGGAGGAGGAGGACGCGCGGCAGCGGCAGAAUCAGCACGUUGGAUCCGGCCGAGGCUUACGUCGACACGGACGCGGAGGCUCUGGCCGCAGCCGCCGCGCUCUAUGCCCUGCCCCUGCUCGCCGAGCCCUGCCUCUCCGGAUCUCCAGCCAUGGAGGUCGCUUCUGGCAUGUUCUGCAAGUUCAAACGGAAGAACAUCUCUGUUUGCAUAGCCCUACAGGGGAGCAAAUGGAUUUCUGUGCUCCGUCAGGUCAACACCACUGAGUUAGUUCAUGAAUUCAUCAAAUUACGGUUGUUGAUCAGAGAGGUGCAAAUACCACAGACCAAGAUGUCGUCUCCUGGUGUUGGACAACGGAUGGAAUGUAUACGACGCGCUCAACCUACAAGGCAAUGUUCUGGGGCUCUUACUCGAGCACUUGCUCUCAAACUUUCUGGAAGGCUUUGGCUGAAAACAAAGUAAAAAAAUUCUGUUGACACCUGUCGCUUGGGAGGAUUCUGACCGUGGACAAGCUGAUCCAGAGAGGAUGGCAAGGAAGCGAGAUUUGUUCGAUGUGCAGUUCACAGGAGGAGACGGUGGAGCAUCUUCUUCUGAACUUCUAUUUUGCUCGCCAAGUUUGGAGGAGGAUCGCGGCUUGGUCUGGUUUUGAGACAUUAUGAUGUGAAGAUGGCCUCCGGGAGGGCACGGUUUACUCCUGGUGGCUGGAGCGAGGCUGCCAAAUCCCUACGACCAACCGGCGAAAGUUUGAUGGGACUGUAGCUUACACUUUUUGUCCGAUUUGGAAAGAUAGGAAUGGGAGAGUUUUUGACAAUGCUUAUGCUGGUGUCGAGGACACUUUCUUUAGAAUUUAGGAGUCCAUCCUAACGAGAGAGUUGACAUUUGCCAGAGUGAUACUGUAUGAUGGAGGCUACGGCCAUCACAUCGGAUUGUAACCAGGACAACAGAUAGAUGGAACCGAAUAUUCUGGAGCAUAUACUUGAUGGAAGAGAGAACCUGACGAAUCUGCCAUUUGCGCUUUUGAAGAACAUCACAGAAAAUUUCACUGAAGAUCGACUAAUUGCACAGGGUGGAUUUGCAACAGUUUAUAAGGUAACAAUUACUUCUGAAACAAAUUAAGCAUAUAACACGUAUAAUAUCAAGGGUACCAAUUCGGCACUACAAAAUGGAGUGCAUAUUUUCUGAUGUCCCUGAUUUCUUAUCACAUACCUUGUUCUCCCCUAAAUGUGUACAUAUAAAUUGUUCCCCAAGCCUGACUGGCUGAGCAUUGAGCAGUCUUGAUUAUCACAAUGUUUGUUCCUUUAGUUGGUAUAAUAUACAAUUGCCUGAUGUUGUCUAC